rnacentral:rRNA from 1 species
AGCUGCUGCUAGAAUUCUUACAUCUCCCAAGCUAAGCAGGGUAGGACCAGGUCAGCACUCCGAUGAGAGAUCUUGAGGCAAAAGUCCAGGUGCUGCAGGAA